rnacentral:rRNA from 1 species
CCUACGGGAGGCAGCAGUGAGGAAUAUUGGUCAAUGGGCGAGAGCCUGAACCAGCCAAGUCGCGUGAAGGAUGACGGCCCUACGGGUUGUAAACUUCUUUUGUCAGGGAGCAAUUGAGUCCACGUGUGGUCUUAGCGAGAGUACCUGAAGAAAAAGCAUCGGCUAACUACGUGCCAGCAGCCGCGGUAAUACGGUGGAUGCGAGCGUUAUCCGGAUUUAUUGGGUUUAAAGGGUGCGUAGGCGGAAUAUCAAGUCAGCGGUAAAAAUGCGGGGCUAACCCCCGUCGUGCCGUUGAAACUGAUGGUAUUGAGUGGGCGAGAAGUAUGCGGAAUGCGUGGUGUAGCGGUGAAAUGCAUAGAGAUCACGAAGAACUCCGGUUGCGAAGGCAGCAUACCGGCGCACAACUGACGCUGAGGCACGAAAGCGUGGGUAUCGAACAGGAUUAGAUACCCUUGUAGUC